CCUACGGGUGGCAGCAGUAGGGGAUAUUGCUCAAUGGGGGAAACCCUGAUGCAGCGACGCCGCGUGGAGGAUGAAGGUUUUCGGAUUGUACACUCCUUUUGUCAGGGACGAUAAUCACGGUUUCUUACCUAUACACCCCCGCCAACUCCGUUCCAGCCACCGCCGUAAAACGGAGGGUGCAGGCGUUACUCGGAAGUACUGGGUGUAAAGGGCGCGUUGGCGGGAAAGUAAGUCAGAUGUGAAAGCCUAUGGCUUAACCAUGGGACUUCAGUUGAAACUGGACGUCUGGAGUUGGGGAGCGGAAGGCGGAAUUCUUGGUGUAGGGGUAAAAUGCGUAGAUAUCAGGAGGAAUAC
rnacentral:rRNA from 1 species